rnacentral:rRNA from 1 species
UACGUAGGUGGCAAGCGUUAUCCGGAAUUAUUGGGCGUAAAGCGCGCGCAGGUGGUUUCUUAAGUCUGAUGUGAAAGCCCACGGCUCAACCGUGGAGGGUCAUUGGAAACUGGGAGACUUGAGUGCAGAAGAGGAAAGUGGAAUUCCAUGUGUAGCGGUGAAAUGCGUAGAGAUAUGGAGGAACACCAGUGGCGAAGGCGACUUUCUGGUCUGUAACUGACACUGAGGCGCGAAAGCGUGGGGAGCAAACAGGAUUAGAAACCCCAGUAGUCC